AUGAAGAGCAGAGGCUUCACAUGUGAUCAGGUGACACUGACAGCUUUAGUUCACAUGUAUAGCAAGGCCAGUAACCUUAAGCUGGCUGAAGAUACUUUUGAAGAGAUGAGGUUGCUUGGUGUACCAUUGGAUAAGAGGUCCUUUGGGUCAAUAAUCAUGGCCUAUGUUAGAGCUGGAAAGCUUGGUCAAGGAGAGGCUUUACUUAAGGAAAUGGAAGAACAAGAGACCUAUGCUGGACCAGAAGUUUAUAAAGCACUUCUGAGAGCCUAUUCGAUGAGUGGUGAUAGCAAAGGAGCUCAAAGGGUUUUUGACACAAUUCAGUUAGCAGGAGUAAUCCCUGAUGCG
rnacentral:misc_RNA from 1 species